GGGGGACGCAGUAGGAUAGGCGAAGCGUGCGAUUGGAUUGCACGUCUAAGCAGUAAGGCUGAGUAUUAGGCAAAUCCGGUACUCGUUAAGGCUGAGCUGUGAUGGGGAGAAGACAUUGUGUCUUCGAGUCGUUGAUUUCACACUGCCGAGAAAAGCCUCUAGAUAGAAAAUAGGUGCCCGUACCGCAAACCGACACAGGUAGUCAAGAUGAGAAUUCUAAGGUGAGCGAGCGAACUCUCGUUAAGGAACUCGGCAAAAUGACCCCGUAACUUCGGGAGAAGGGGUGCUCUUUAGGGUUAACGCCCAGAAGAGCCGCAGUGAAUAGGCCCAAGCGACUGUUUAUCAAAAACACAGGUCUCUGCUAAACCGUAAGGUGAUGUAUAGGGGCUGACGCCUGCCCGGUGCUGGAAGGUUAAGAGGAGUGGUUAGCUUCUGCGAAGCUACGAAUCGAAGCCCCAGUAAACGGCGGCCGUAACUAUAACGGUCCUAAGGUAGCGAAAUUCCUUGUCGGGUAAGUUCCGACCCGCACGAAAGGCGUAACGAUUUGGGCACUGUCUCAACGAGAGACUCGGUGAAAUCAUAGUACCUGUGAAGAUGCAGGUUACCCGCGACAGGACGGAAAGACCCCGUGGAGCUUUACUGUAGCCUGAUAUUGAAAUUCGGCACAGCUUGUACAGGAUAGGUAGGAGCCUUUGAAACGUGAGCGCUAGCUUACGUGGAGGCGCUGGUGGGAUACUACCCUAGCUGUGUUGGCUUUCUAACCCGCACCACUUAUCGUGGUGGGAGACAGUGUCAGGCGGGCAGUUUGACUGGGGCGGUCGCCUCCUAAAAGGUAACGGAGGCGCUCAAAGGUUCCCUCAGAAUGGUUGGAAAUCAUUCAUAGAGUGUAAAGGCAUAAGGGAGCUUGACUGCGAGACCUACAAGUCGAGCAGGGUCGAAAGACGGACUUAGUGAUCCGGUGGUUCCGCAUGGAAGGGCCAUCGCUCAACGGAUAAAAGCUACCCCGGGGAUAACAGGCUUAUCUCCCCCAAGAGUUCACAUCGACGGGGAGGUUUGGCACCUCGAUGUCGGCUCAUCGCAUCCUGGGGCUGUAGUCGGUCCCAAGGGUUGGGCUGUUCGCCCAUUAAAGCGGUACGCGAGCUGGGUUCAGAACGUCGUGAGACAGUUCGGUCCCUAUCCGUCGUGGGCGUAGGAAAUUUGAGAGGAGCUGUCCUUAGUACGAGAGGACCGGGAUGGACAUACCUCUGGUGUACCAGUUGUCGUGCCAACGGCAUAGCUGGGUAGCUAUGUGUGGACGGGAUAAGUGCUGAAAGCAUCUAAGCAUGAAGCCCCCCUCAAGAUGAGAUUUCCCAACUUCGGUUAUAAGAUCCCUCAAAGAUGAUGAGGUUAAUAGGUUCGAGGUGGAAGCAUGGUGACAUGUGGAGCUGACGAAUACUAAUCGAUCGAAGACUUAAUCAA
rnacentral:rRNA from 1 species